CGAGAGAGAUCGUACUACACUAUAAUCGAUUGACACAGACACCUCAUGGAGAGCCGAAAGAGAUCGUACUACUCUCCAAUUAGUUGACAUACACUUAAUGGCACUAUAAUAAAAAUGGUAUAUAGCAACACUUUUAAAUGUCGGUAAAGGUAAAAAAAAGUGCUGCUGGCUAAAUUACCGACACUUUUAAAAAAGGCUAAAUUACAUAAAACCCCCCUAUCAAAACCAAAUUUUUCACUUUACCCCCCUGUCAUUUAAAAACUUACACUUUGCCCCCUUGUAAAAUAAAAAAUGUUCAUUUCGCCCCCUGCCGUUAGUAAUCCGUUAAGGUUCCGUUUAUAAAAUAUUAUUAUAUAUUUUUUUAUGCCAAAAAUGCCCUCAGCCUUCUCUCCUGUGAACAUAGUGAGGGGCAAAAUGGUGAGGGGUAAAAUGGUCAUUUUAUCAUCACAGUUUACACAGUACCCUUCUGUGAACAUUUUUUAUUUUACAAGGGGGCAAAGUGUAGAUUUUUAAAUGACAGGGGAAAAAAUAAAAAAUUGAAUUUUGAUAGGGGGUUUUCUGUAAUUUAGCUUUUAAAAAGUGUUGUUAUAUGUGGGGUCGCUGAGUAUAUAGUGACAGUUUAAGAAUAUCGGUGUAAUCUAAAAAAAGUGCUGCUAAUUUGCCAACACUUAUUUAAGCAUUUAGCAACCGCCGGAACUCUACCUCAUUGGCUGCGGUGGCGGAGGAGGAGGAGAGCGAAGGGCCCUUCGUCUAGGAUUUCAGCGGAUUGAGUGAGGGGAGAAGGGAAGAUAGUGAUUGAUUUUUCUUUUUUUUUUCCUUUUCUGUUUGUAAUCGGGCCGAAUGGGCUGAGUGGGGUGGAUUGAGUAGAGUAACAUUUUAUUUUUUGUUGGAUUGGGCUUUAUAUUUAGCCCUUAGUAGAUUUUUUUAAAAAAGUUUUGGCAUAAAUGGGACACUUAUACAAAAGUGUCGUCCCAAACAUGUGUCCCUAUAAUCUAAUUCUGUUGUAGUGCGGAGAGUUAAGAGAGAUCGUGUUACUCUCAAUUAGUAGGCAC
rnacentral:lncRNA from 1 species